rnacentral:lncRNA from 1 species
UGCUUUCAACUGGAAAUCCUCCCGAAUCAACCUGUGGAGCCACCGCUAGGAUUCCAAGUUGCCUUUUUAUUUGGGGAUUUGGAUUAGGAUCUUCAAAAACUUUUUCAUUUCUUAAUUUUGAGACCGGAGUUUCCAUGUUGGCCAGACUGGCCUCCAACUUGAGGCCUUCCUACCUUGGUCUCCAGCACAGGACUGCUUUCAGGUUUCAUCAGAAGCCUGAAUCUACUCCUCCUUCCUGAGGACACCUGUGCGGGUGGAACUUCAUUUCCACAGGAUCUGGCCCAUUGGAGUGCAGCUCAGUGUUACCGACUCUGCAGAUCACAAACAGCAAACAGCCAUCAGAGGAAAAAUCCCUGGGAUGAAAGCAGACAACUGAGGAAGCUGCUGAAGCUAGAGGAGAUCUUCUGUGGCCAACCAGUCACCAACCCAGGUGGUCAGUGACCUGGCCAUGCUCCAAGGCCAGCGGGGACUCCAGCAUUCCUUUGGUUUGGUGUCUUGUGAACUAGAUUGGUGGCAAUAACUUCUCAUGAGCAAUCCGAGGAUGGUGUGAUACUUAGACUUUUGCAUCCAUUUCCAUCAUUUUCUUCCCAUAAAACAUAACAUUUUCCCAUGGCAUGAAAUACACUUCUACCAUUUACAGUGACUCUAUGGUGUUGUAUCUGUGCAUUUUAUGUAUAUUUUUUGGCCAUAAAUAAUUUAUCAACUGG